rnacentral:lncRNA from 1 species
GCAGGCACUAUUUGAUCUACGCUAAAAGGUUCCUUCACCAAUAGCAAUGAAGCCAAAUUAGCCUCCGCCUCAGCCGGCUCAUGCUUCUCGCUUCUCGGACACGGUGAAGAGUCGCUAGAACACGUUAUCAUCUCACUCCCAUCGCUUGCCUUUAUAGCUCCUACAUCCGCAACAUCUUCAACACCAUCUACCUGCAUUAUAACCCACAAAAAUAUAUAUAUUACCACCUGAAUAUACGACUCUCAUGCACAACAAUAUCCACACCGUCCAUAUGUACAACGCACCUUCCCAAGUCCUUUGAUUUCAUCCUCCUUUUCUCCAGCACCAGAAACAGGGGUAGAAACUUUCUUCCCUCCUUCAGGAUACGAUUCAUCUUUCUCCUGCACAAAGCAAGACAAAUUAACUCACAACCCGGACCAUCAAAACAACUCGUACACAUUUACAGCUCACACCAAUUCAUACACAUGGACAGCUCACACCAACUCACACCAACCCCUACUCUACACCACACUAGACGUACAAUUCACACCAACUCAUACACAUGUACAGCUCACCUUAAUUACUGCAUUGGCUUCAAGACCCAC